AGCGAACGCUGGCGGCAGGCCUAACACAUGCAAGUCGAACGAAGUCUUCGGACUUAGUGGCGGACGGGUGAGUAACACGUGGGAACGUUCCUUUAGGUUCGGAAUAACUCAGGGGAACUUGUGCUAAUACCGAAUGUGCCCUUCGGGGGAAAGAUUUAUCGCCUUUAGAGCGGCCCGCGCCUGAUUAGCUAGUUGGUGAGGUAAAGGCUCACCGAGGCGACGAUCAGUAGCUGGUCUGAGAGGAUGAUCAGCCACAUUGGGACUGAGACACGGCCCAAACUCCUACGGGAGGCAGCAGUGGGGAAUCUUGCGCAAUGGGCGAAAGCCUGACGCAGCCAUGCCGCGUGAAUGAUGAAGGUCUUAGGAUUGUAAAAUUCUUUCACCGGGGACGAUAAUGACGGUACCCGGAGAAGAAGCCCCGGCUAACUUCGUGCCAGCCGCCGCGGUAAAAC
rnacentral:rRNA from 1 species